AUUGAACGCUGGCGGCAGGCCUAACACAUGCAAGUCGGACGGUAGCACAGGGGAGCUUGCUCCUCGGGUGACGAGUGGCAGACGGGUGAGUAAUGUCUGGGGAUCUGCCCGAUAGAGGGGGAUAACCACUGGAAACGGUGGCUAAUACCGCAUAAUGUCGCAAGACCAAGGAGGGGGACCUUCGGGCCUCUCACUAUCGGAUGAACCCAGAUGGGAUUAGCUAGUAGGCGGGGUAACGGCCCACCUAGGCGACGAUCCCUAGCUGGUCUGAGAGGAUGACCAGCCACACUGGAACUGAGACACGGUCCAGACUCCUACGGGAGGCAGCAGUGGGGAAUAUUGCGCAAUGGGCGCAAGCCUGAUGCAGCCAUGCCGCGUGUAUGAAGAAGGCCUUCGGGUUGUAAAGUACUUUCAGCGGGGAGGAAGGCGAUGUGGUUAAUAACCGCGUCGAUUGACGUUACCCGCAGAAGAAGCACCGGCUAACUCCGUGCCAGCCGCCGCGGUAA
rnacentral:rRNA from 1 species